GUGAUUAUCCAUAAGGUGACAGACGCGGUGGAUAGUUGGAAGACGCAGUGGAUAGUUGGCAGACGCGGUGGAUGGGUGGCAGACAGGUUGAUGGGCUCUCCUUCAACUCCAUGCUCAACCUGAGCCCCUUCACUGGCUCGAUGGAGCUUUGUGGUCUGCACAUCUGUGGUGGCCACCCCGAGAGAAGAGAGCUUUCCUCCGCCAGAGAUGUCCUUUCCUCCUAGUAUGAGUAAUGCUGUAG